rnacentral:rRNA from 1 species
UACGAAGGGGGCUAGCGUUGCUCGGAAUCACUGGGCGUAAAGCGCACGUAGGCGGAUUGUUAAGUCAGGGGUGAAAUCCUGGAGCUCAACUCCAGAACUGCCUUUGAUACUGGCGAUCUCGAGUCCGGGAGAGGUGAGUGGAACUGCGAGUGUAGAGGUGAAAUUCGUAGAUAUUCGCAAGAACACCAGUGGCGAAGGCGGACUCACUGGCCCGG